CCCGGGAGAUGCGGAACUAUGGGGAGGCGGCAAUUGGCCGCAUCCCCGGCGUCAACAUUUUCCCAUCAGUCAUAAAAAGGGCUUAUUAUUAUCACUUGAUGGUUCACCUAUUAAUUAAGCCUCUGACCACAAAUACCUAUCCUUUCAACUUUCUAACUUUAUUGUGCCCAUCUUGGACCUCAAAUCAGUAUUACAAGUCUUUGGAACUCACUAUUUUCACCUCAUCUGUCAGAUGUCUUACAUUACCAAAAAGGAUCUUGAGAAUGGCAAACAUGCCUGGGACAUGUUAUGUGAAGAAUCAUACUGUACAAAUGAAACAGUCUUUUUCUCAAGGUCUCCCUAACUGUCUGUCUGCCUUGGUUUCAUUCCUUCUUCUGCCUCACAUUGUGACAAAUUUAUGGUCUUUGUUACACAACACAAGGAGGAAACUGAGAAUAAGGGCACUAUCUCUGACAAAUUAUAUAAUCUAAGGCAUCCCUUCCAAAGGAAACAGAAACGAGGAAUCAUUUCCUUCAGCCGACCUGCGAAACGGUCACAGAUGCAACGUAUCUACUAUCUCCCUUUCAAGGACAGCAUGCAUGGUGCCAGCUGAUAAAAUGUGUGUUUGCAAGAAGCAGCUAGAGACAGCUAACUCCCUCUGGUAUUACAUGGUGAUGGUGGGAGAGAUCUACCCUGUUGCCCCUGAUCUAUCAGCUAGUUGUACCAUGGUCCCUGUGUAGUAUUGUGACAUGCCUGAAGCUGUCAGGAUACUAAUCCUCUGGGUCAGAGGGAAAUAUUUAAAAUUAUAGUCUAGGAAUACAUGAAUUAUGUCAGGAGAUGGAGGCUGAGCAAUCCUGCUAGAAGAUCCUGACUUUUUGCUGGCUGCAGGCUGGAGCAGUCCUCAAGGCCACUUACAGUUCCUUGGCAUGUAGGCUUCUCCAACAUAGCUGCUUACUUCAUCAAGCCCACAGGAGAGUCUCUGGCUCCAGUCUACUAGGACAGCCCCCCAUAUGAGCAUAACCAUGGAUGCAAGCAAUCAUAAUACAGGAAAAAGAAGUCCCCUUUCUUCGCACAGUAUUUUUCAUUGUGAAAAAGCCUUGCUCAUAAGAUGAAACUUGAGAGACAACAGAAAUGUUUGCAUAGACUCUCUUAUUAAAUUAACAGUUAAUGAGAAAAAAAUGUACUGCUUCUGCUAGAGGUAAUACAAAUAUAAAUUUGGUGAAUGUUUGCUUAAAGGUAAAAACAGUGUUUAUUUGAAGAAGCAAAGCAUGAAUGACUCUUUGGAAGGUGCUGGCUAUUUUUUCCAUAUUCUAAAAAUGCUCCUCAAUCAUCAUCAGAUAUCCUUUCCAUUGAAAUUGAAUUGUUAUACAAUUAUUCUUACUUCAGUGGUUAUUCUGUUCAAACUCAAGGAUUAAAGAAUUUUUGUGAUUAGAUUGGCAUUUAGUAUUUUUUAAUUAUCUCACAUUCAAAAACUGGUAAUUCUAACAAAUGCAGCUAUGAGAAUCCUCAAUUCAUUUAAAUCUCUAAAAUCAUAUUUCGAUUCUAAAGAAAAUACUGCCACAAUUAUUUUUGACAUUUGAAUAACCCAUUAAGGGAAGUCGGACUAUCUUUCAGUAACAGGAUUAUGAAAAUUAAAAGAGCAGUGUUAUUGGCAUACUUUGCUAAAAGGCACUGGUUGAAUAUGUUAAAGAAAGAAUUUUUUGAAUAAUGUGUCAUUUUAAGUGUCAAAGCUAUUUUUAAAAAAGUAACACUAACAAACAGGAAAAUAAGUUCUGAUCUGAAGUGUAUAAUUGUUAAGUUUACAUAACUAAGAGAAGAUUUUAACUUUUUUCACAUAAAAUGUUAAUAUACUGUCCUUAAAUCAUUCUUGAUAGUUUCUGAUA